rnacentral:rRNA from 1 species
AUACGUAGGGGGCAAGCGUUAUCCGGAAUUACUGGGCGUAAAGGGUGCGUAGGUGGUUUCUUAAGUCAGGAGUGAAAGGCUACGGCUCAACCGUAGUAAGCUCUUGAAACUGGGAAACUUGAGUGCAGGAGAGGAGAGUGGAAUUCCUAGUGUAGCGGUGAAAUGCGUAGAUAUUAGGAGGAACACCAGUUGCGAAGGCGGCUCUCUGGACUGUAACUGACACUGAGGCACGAAAGCGUGGGGAGC